GAUGAACGCUGGCGGCGUGCCUAAUACAUGCAAGUCGAGCGAACAGAUGAGGAGCUUGCUCCUCUGACGUUAGCGGCGGACGGGUGAGUAACACGUGGAUAACCUACCUAUAAGACUGGGAUAACUUCGGGAAACCGGAGCUAAUACCGUAUAAUAUAUUGAACCGCAUGGUUCAAUAGUUAAAGACGGUUUUGCUGUCACUUAUAGAUGGAUCCGCUCCGCAUUAGCUAGUUGGUAAGGUAACGGCUUACCAAGGCAACGAUGCUUAGCCGACCUGAGAGGGUGAUCGGCCACACUGGAACUGAGACACGGUACAGACUCCUACGGGAGGCAGCAGUAGGGAAUAUUCCGCAAUGGGCGAAAGCAUGACGGAGCAACGCCGCGUGAGUGAUGAAGGUCUUCGGAUCGUAAAACUCUGUUAUUAGGGAAGAACAAAUGUGUAAGUAAAUAUGCACGUAUUGACGGUACCUAAUCAGAAAGCCACGGCUAACUACGUG
rnacentral:rRNA from 1 species